rnacentral:lncRNA from 1 species
GCAAGCUGGCAAUAAUUUCCUUGUAAAACAGACAUAAACAAUCGUUUUCACAACCACGUCCCAUACACAAAAUAUGUUACCAUAGCAACAAUAUAAUUGAGAAAGUCAUUCGAAAUGUGAAGGAGAUAGCGUAUCACUGUUUCAUUUCAAUCCGUUACAAACGCGUGAAUAACUGUGUACAUAAAAUAUCACCGCCCAAAGUUGUCCUGAGAGUUUAUAUCAAAAUCCUUUUAUCUGGGGAACAGUUUGAUAUUAAUAGUUUGUGUACGGUUAAGAAUGUCCAAUAACAAAAGUAUUUAAACGUUAGUGAGGUUAAUAUUGACUGGGAAAAAUUUACACUCCACAGUCGGGACGACGGAGCGACUAUAAUGACUUGAAUAUGACAUUUAUGGAUUAAUAUUUUGACCUUUUGAGAAAAUGACGACCUGUAGAGAAUUCCGAUUGUUUUUGUAAUCUGGAAAUUAGCAUUAUGAGGGUACCUGGAGAGGAGUACGAACGGAUAUGUAGCUUCCAUGGUUGGCUUAUACCUCCGAAGGUUGUCCUAGCCUUUAUUUCGUUUGGAAGUCUUUUUGUUUUCCUAGGAACCGUUUUUCUCGCCGUUGGAAG